UACAGAGGGUGCAAACGUUGCUCGGAGUUACUGGGCGUAAAGCGCGUGUAGGCGGUGCCGCACGUCCGGUGUGAAAGCCCAGGGCUCAACCCUGGAAGUGCACUGGAUACGACGGCGCUGGAGUCCUGAAGAGGAGGGCGGAAUUCCCGGUGUAGAGGUGAAAUUCGUAGAUAUGGGGGAGGAACACCGGUGGCGAAGGCGACCAUCUGGACGGAUACUGACGCUGAGACGCGAAAGCGUGGGGAGCAACAGG
rnacentral:rRNA from 1 species